AGUGCAUAUAGAACCGUGUCACCUAUACCAAAACUGCUUUUUGUUAAAGAUCUGCUUGAACCGCUCAUGGUAUAACUGCCUCUAUCUUGUUGCACUUUUUGUCAUACAACAGCUUUCUCGAUUGUCUCAAAAGGGAUAGAUAGCAUUUCGUUGAAUAAUACGCAUCACGCUUCUUCGAAAUUCGAAAGGCGCAUCAGGAAGCCAGAAGCCGAGUCGACUUCCGCGAUCGGAAACACGUGCGGAAAAAGCUCCGUAUAGAUCGAAGUAGUCGUCGUCGUCGCGGGGACACUUCGCUAUAACCCCGUCCAAUCAGCGGACAAACAGAGGAUGCUCCUCUGCGCGAGAGCAGCGAAGGCACACUCCGUCGAAAGGAAUAAUCGGCCGAUAUCACAUGCGCAGACUGUUGAGCAUCGAAGCGCUCAUGUCCGAGUAUAACGACCGGCUUGCACUGCACGAGAGAGAGAGAGAGAGAGAGCCUCGCCGUGAGUCAUCGAGAAUAAUCCGAAUAAAUACGCCGCGCCGCCGCUGCCACUGACGCUCGCGAGCGCAAGGCCAAGGUCGCCAAGCGCGCGCGCGCUCGCGGCAGCCGGUUAUCACGGAAUAAAUUAAUACACCCCCUUUUUUACGAGCCGCGCGACAAUGUGCGCGAUGAAAACAAUGGCGUUUCACACUGCCGUCGCUGCUACUGCUUAUGUAUUGUGCGAACGUUGCAUGUAUGCACUGUGUAGCUGCGUACUUUUUACGAAUUCUUUGUGUAAUUGGGGUGUUUAAGCGCGGCGUUUGUGCUAUCUUUACGCGUGUGAGAUUAGAUUAAAUUUAUCAUUUAUGAGAUGUUUUAUGUUUAAAUAUGAGAGUUGCCAGUACAAAGGUCGCUUGCACGUUUACAGAGCAAAAGCUCAGCGAAAUACAAAAUUCCUCGCAAUAAAAAAGUCCGAUUAGAUAUAAAUACAAAACCGAAUUUUUUCCAUCGUCCGAUUAAAAUUAUUACAGAAAUGCGUUUCUAAUCCCGGUACAAUCAUUCGGCGAUUAUUCCAAUGCGACUGCAGCUCUACACAAUGAUCAACAAUUCCAGUGCCGAGUCAACGAGCAAACAUCAAGGAUUGCCUUAUAUCGGCUGUUUGGUAAACAGCGAAAAUUCAAUAUCGGCCGAACGGAAUGCUACACCGCUCGAAAAGCAUUAAAAAACGCUUUAUCGGCGACUGGACGGCGACCAGGUUUUAAAAUCAACAACCACGCUGGCCUUUCCGUUUCGAGGAAAAGCUAUGUGUGUACACACUGUAUGAGUUUAACAUUUUGCUGCUGCACACUUUUUUUUCAACGGCGAUUAUCGAUAAACGAACUUUUUCACUUAUGGUAUAUUGUAUA